GUUUUUUCCCCAGUAUUUGUAGGAGGCCACCAGAGAGACAGGAUUGCAAGGUUUUAAAUAUGCUAGUGUCAUGAGGUCAUGGAUUUCCUACCUGAAACAGAUAGUGUGACUGCCCUGCUAUAGCCAUGUUUGGCCAGUGUAGGAAUUUUGAGAACAGUGAACACUUAAUACUCAGAUGGCAUUUUGCCACCCCGACAAGGACCAUACCUGCCAUUCCAUUGUAGUUCGCCUUGCCCAGAAGUUUUAAAAUUUUUCUUUCAGCCUGGGAUUUCAAGUGUACUACAGCAUCCUCUUCACCUAUACAAGCGUCUGUUGUUUUAAAAGGAAACUGGUGUUUUAUAAGAGAGAGCCCAAAGGAGAUUUGACACACCCAGAAGAGGCAAUGUGACCACAGAGACAGAGACUGGAUGGGCACAACCACAAGUCAAGGAAUGCCAGCAAGCACCAGAUGCUGGAAUAUCUCUGCUAGAACUUGGAGGAAGCAUGGCCCUGCUGACACCUUUAUUUCAAUCCACUGAAACUGAUUUCAGGCUUCCUGCCUCCAGAACUGUGAGAAGAGAAAUUUUCUGUUGUUUUAAGCCUCCAA
rnacentral:lncRNA from 1 species